CCUACGGGGGGCAGCAGUGGGGAAUAUUGCACAAUGGAGGGAACUCUGAUGCAGCGACGCCGCGUGAGUGAAGAAGGUCUUCGGAUCGUAAAACUCUGUCCUUGGUGAAGAAAAGGACGGUAGCCAAGGAGGAAGCCCCGGCUAACUACGUGCCAGCAGCCGCGGUAAUACGUAGGGGGCGAGCGUUGUCCGGAUUUACUGGGCGUAAAGGGUGAGUAGGCGGUUAUAUAUGUCAGGUGUAAAAAGCUAUGGCUUAACCAUAGUAAGCACUUGAAACUGUAUGACUUGAGUGCAGGAGAGGUAAGCGGAAUUCCUAGUGUAGCGGUGAAAUGCGUAGAUAUUAGGAGGAACACCGGUGGCGAAGGCGGCUUACUGGACUGUAACUGACGCUGAGUCACGAAAGCGUGGGUAGCAAACAGGAUUAGAUACCCCUGUAGU
rnacentral:rRNA from 1 species